ensembl:lncRNA
GGGAUAGAGGAGGGAGAGGGGAUAGAGGAGGGAGAGGGGGAUAGAGGAGGGAGAGGGGAUAGGAUAUAGGAGGGAGAGGGGAUAGAGGGGGAGAGGGGAUAGGAUAUAGGAGGGAGAGGGGAUAGGAUAUAGGAGGGAGAGGGGAUAGAGAAGGGAGAGGGGAUAGAGGAGGGAGAGGGGAUAGGAUAGAGGAGGGAGAGGGGAUAGGAUAUAGGAGGGAGAGGGGAUAGAAGAGGGGAAGGGAUAGAGGAGGGAGUGAGGAUAGGAUAGAGGAGGGAGAGGGGAUAGGAUAGAGGAGGGAGAGGGGAUAGAGGAGGGAGAGGUGAUAGAGGAGGGAGAGGGGAUAGGAUAGAGGAGAGAGAUGGGAUAGGAUAGAAGAGGGGAUGGGAUAGAGGAGGGAGUGAGGAUAGGAUAGAGGAGGGAGAGGGGAUGGGAUAGAGGAGGGAGUGAGGAUAGGAUAGAGGAGGGGAUGGGAUAGAGGAGGGAGUGAGGAUAGGAUAGAGGAGGGAGAGGGGAUAGAGGAGGGAGAGGGGAUAGGAUAGAGGAGGGAGAGGUGAUAGAGGAGGGAGAGGGGAUAGAGGAGUGAGAGGUGAUAGAGGAGGGAGUGAGG